rnacentral:rRNA from 1 species
CCUACGGGAGGCAGCAGUGAGGAAUAUUGGUCAAUGGGCGCGAGCCUGAACCAGCCAAGUCGCGUGAGGGAAGACGGUCCUAUGGAUUGUAAACCUCUUUUGUCGGGGAGCAAAAGACGCCACGCGUGGCGUUCCGAGAGUACCCGAAGAAAAAGCAUCGGCUAACUCCGUGCCAGCAGCCGCGGUAAUACGGAGGAUGCGAGCGUUAUCCGGAUUUAUUGGGUUAAAAGGGUGGGCAGGCGGAAGAUCAGGUCAGCGGUAAAAGUGAGAGGCUCAACCUCUUCGAGCCGUUGAAACUGGUUUUCUUGAGUGCGUGAGAAGUAUGCGGAAUGCGUGGUGUAGCGGUGAAAUGCAUAGAUAUCACGCAGAACUCCGAUUGCGAAGGCAGCAUACCGGCGCUCAACUGACGCUCAUGCACGAAAGUGUGGGUAUCGAACAGGAUUAGAUACCCGAGUAGUC